UGCAGUAGAGGAGCAAGUGCGGGAUGUCUCCUUCAACAUGACAGGUGGGGCAGUUCGGUGACAAAAGGUGGUGACUUAAAGAGGAGCAGUGGAGUCCGCGCCACAUUCAACCGCAGCCUGUGAAGGAGUAGCGGCCUACCAGUGUAUGGGUCAUCGUAGGGUCAAUCGAAUGCAGAAAAGGGUUGGUCCUGGCAGCGUCUUGAAAGAAGGCAUGAGAGCUAUUUCUGCAGUAUCGGCGAAUGGCUAGCUGACAGGCAGACGGGGUAACCUUGGAACUCCUGGGGGUGGACACCACCGCCUCUUGCCCCCCUCUCGGUACUCCACCCCUUCAUCAGAUCCCGGAUUCAUUCCAUGCGCAGACCCAACUCAGAUAGAUGUUGACUGGGUUCUCAACGAGUUCGACGAUAAGGAAUGUGUGUCUCUGGUCAAGGAAACAUGCGGUAACCUGGUAGAGUAUACUACUCAACACUGGGUCGAAGGCAUAAGGAUACGUGAUAAUUGCAGUGCAAUCCCCCGGUGGACGGCCAUUGCAACCUUCACGGCUCGAGGCAACAAAUAUCCAAAAAGGGGUGGCCAUGCAGCCAUUUUUGAAUCCUGCACUCCAGAUGGCAUCUGGGUUUACGACCAGAAUGUCAGCCAGCCAGUACACAGAUGGCACUUCAACAGUUAUGCCAACCUCUUCUCCACUAUUCGGCUGCCAUAGAAAAGUACGUGAGGAAAAAGAAGGGUUUGAUCCAAUAUGUACCUUAUGUCUGAUUACUUGCCUUGCAAAAUAACUGGUCUGUAUUUUCCUUUCGUUCUUGUGGUGUUGCGCCCGAAAGGGUCUAUACAUAUGUAUACGUAUACAUAAACCAAAAUAAAAACUUCUAACACCAA